rnacentral:rRNA from 1 species
GGCUCAGAUUGAACGCUGGCGGCAGGCCUAACACAUGCAAGUCGAGCGGAUGAGUGGAGCUUGCUCCAUGAUUCAGCGGCGGACGGGUGAGUAAUGCCUAGGAAUCUGCCUAGUGGUGGGGGAUAACGUUCGGAAACGGACGCUAAUACCGCAUACGUCCUACGGGAGAAAGCGGGGGAUCUUCGGACCUCGCGCCAUUAGAUGAGCCUAGGUCGGAUUAGCUAGUUGGUGAGGUAAUGGCUCACCAAGGCGACGAUCCGUAACUGGUCUGAGAGGAUGAUCAGUCACACUGGAACUGAGACACGGUCCAGACUCCUACGGGAGGCAGCAGUGGGGAAUAUUGGACAAUGGGCGAAAGCCUGAUCCAGCCAUGCCGCGUGUGUGAAGAAGGUCUUCGGAUUGUAAAGCACUUUAAGUUGGGAGGAAGGGUAGUAACCUAAUACGUUGCUACUUUGACGUUACCGACAGAAUAAGCACCGGCUAACUUCGUG